UCUUUUAUUUCCUGGUAGGAAUGCCAGUGAAGCAAGCACGUCAAAUAAAAUAAUUGAAGAAGAAUACUCGUCCGCAUCCAGUGAGGAAGAAACUUGUAAUAAAGAUACUGAAGAAGUCGAAGAUAUUUGCAGAGCUAUCAAUGACCGCGAAACGAAGUAUGCAGAAAAGAACGAACCCUGCUGACAUCCUUACACGAAUCAAGAAAACAAGAGAAAGCGAGAGGAUGGAAGACAGGAAAAGACCUCUCAAGGAAAGCUGAAAGUCAAGUAAAAAGCUGAAGUCAUCUAGGAACUCCCAGGUCACCAGAGAGAAAAAACUGGACAGCUUACUCGAAGCAAUCCCCGCCGUUCUUGAUGCGGCCCAAAGUGGUGCAGGAGAGCACCAGAAAGCAUUAAGAAGCUGGAGGGCAGUUCAUGGUCGUGACGUGACAAAUUCUUCGUCAGAUGAAGACUAGCAAUUUAUAGGCUUUAUGAGUUCUGUUCACGUUAUUAAUAAAUAGACAUUAAGCAUCACGUUUUUUCUUACCGCAGAGCCUGGCCGGCAUAAGCACGUUUUUGUUCUUUCCCUGUAAUUUAACUAGUACCUUUUACAAACCUUCUCAGCAAAGACAAAGGUUAUUUCAUUAUUUAUCUAUUGCUUCUUGAAAAGCUUUUCAACUUCUUUUUACUUUUUUUUCCGUUUGCGUAGCACCAAUGUUUGUCUUACUGAAUCUCACAAAUAUCUUGUUUUGUUCUGAAUUUCAACGCAUUGGUUAUGUGCACAGCCUUUUCCAAUGUAGAAGAACUAAUAGAGAACUUGAAUAAAAUCCUGUUUUUCCCCACAGAGGAGGGGGUACAGAGUUGGGAAGCAAGUGUUUACAUGCAGUGAACAAUCUCAGUAGGCACCAACUAUAUGUUAGCAAUACGUACGUGUCCAUGCAGAAGGAAAACUUCUCGAAAAUAAUAACCGUCGUGGUAUUCUACAUUAUAUGCUAGCAUUCUUAGUCCUUUUAUAAAUUUAAGGGCGAGCAUUUACAUUAGUAUAUUAUGAACGCAACUUUUUUAUAUACCUGCGUUUCAACGGGACGAGAUCUUAUUCUCGACCACACUGCUCGUCAGUUAAGCUAAUAAAACAGGUAGUGUUAACGAUAUUAAUUGUGCAAUACCUUAAGUUAAAUAAAACAGGUCUACUGAAA